GCCUAGUUAGCUCAGUUGGUAGUGCGUCUGCCUUGUAAGCGCUAGGCCGCGGGUUCGAUUCCCGCCCGGGGCG
rfam:Asian citrus Psyllid, Diaphorina citri - Florida Strain, whole genome shotgun sequence.